rnacentral:lncRNA from 1 species
AUUGGUCCGUACUUUUUUGAAAAUGAUGUUGGUGAGGCCAUCACUGUCAAUGGUGAGUGAUACAGAACAAUGAUAACCGAUUUUUUUUUUUCCCAAAAUGAAUGGUAUGGACGUAGACGACAUGUGGUUUCAGCAGGAUGGCGCUGAAUACAUCCAACACCACGAUAGCCAUUCUGAAUAGCAAAUUUGAGGGUAUGGUUAUCUCUCGCCGAGGAGAUGUGAAUUGGCCACCAAGAUCAUGUAAUUUGACCCCAUUAGACUUUUUCUUGUGGGGUUUCCUGAAGUCGCAGGUCUAUGCCGAUAAGCCGAAAUCGACAGAUGACCUUAAAGUGAACAUAACCC